rnacentral:rRNA from 1 species
UACGAAGGGGGCUAGCGUUGCUCGGAAUCACUGGGCGUAAAGCGCACGUAGGCGGAUUGUUAAGUCAGGGGUGAAAUCCUGGAGCUCAACUCCAGAACUGCCUUUGAUACUGGCGAUCUCGAGUUCGGGAGAGGUGAGUGGAACUGCGAGUGUAGAGGUGAAAUUCGUAGAUAUUCGCAAGAACACCAGUGGCGAAGGCGGCUCACUGGCCCG